CAGUCGCCGCGGUAAUACGGAGGGUGCAAGCGUUAAUCGGAAUUACUGGGCGUAAAGCGCACGCAGCGGUCUGACAAGUCAGAUGUGAAAUCCCCGGGCUUAACCUGGGAACUGCAUUUGAAACUGUCAGGCUGGAGUCUUGUAGAGGGGGGUGGAAUUCCAGGUGUAGCGGUGAAAUGCGUAGAGAUCUGGAGGAAUACCGGUGGCGAAGGCGGCCCCCUGGACAAAGACUGACGCUCAGGUGCGAAAGCGUGGGGAGCAAACAGGAUUAGAUACCCGCGUAGUCCCUGUCUCUUAUACA
rnacentral:rRNA from 1 species